rnacentral:rRNA from 1 species
UACGAAGGGUGCAAGCGUUACUCGGAAUUACUGGGCGUAAAGCGUGCGUAGGUGGUUUGUUAAGUCUGAUGUGAAAGCCCUGGGCUCAACCUGGGAAUUGCAUUGGAUACUGGCAGGCUAGUGCGGUAGAGGGUAGUGGAAUUCCCGGUGUAGCAGUGAAAUGCGUAGAGAUCGGGAGGAACACCAGUGGCGAAGGCGACUACCUGGACCAGCACUGACACUGAGGCACGAAAGCGUGGGGAGCAAACAGG